ACCACCCUAACUGUCACACCGGCUUCACAGGCAUGAGAAGAGAGAAAGCAGUCAAGGGCAGCCAAGGCCAACACAUCCGAUCCUAGCAGUGCACUUGAAAGGUUUAGGCAAGAGGGUUGGCCUUAGGGUUGGAUGCUUGCUUGAGUUAAGUAGUAAGUUCUAGAUCAGGCUGAGUUACAGAGUAAGGCCCUGUCUCAAAAAAGAAGACAGAGAGAGAAGAGGAGGAGAGAGAAUCUUAAUGUUUUUCUUCUAUGGAAACUUGAGUAAGAGGGAUAUCUGCGCAGCCCAAGGAAGCCAAGCAUGGCCAGAGGAAUCGCCACAAAUCUCCCACAAAGUCUGGGAGAGGAAAAACUCACAAAGAUAAGUGUGGGUAGAAGAGGGAUAUGAAUCUUCAGACCUGAUCCAACCCAGCCCAAGGAAGCCAGGAAACUUGAGAGACAUAAAAGAGCAGACUUGGACCACAGAAGCUGCAACUAUCCAGGAAGGUUGUGCAAUUAUUGGAGUUUGGAACCCAAUGAGUGUACACUCAAAAGCUUUCACCCCAUCUGAGAAAGAGCUGAUCCACACAUUUGGUCAUCAAGAUGUCAGUCUCCCACCGCAAGAGUGGUGCUGGUUCCAAGCCUGCUUGGGAACACGGCCCAAUUCAAAUCGUCUAUCUUGUUGCUACUGGGAAAUGACAUCAUCCCCGAGGCGUUGAGCCACUGCUAAGAUGACAAUGACACAAGAUGGCUGGCUGCCCCUUGAAUAACAAAUACCUCACGGGAGAUGCCUGCGGCUUCCGUUUCCUGUGACUGACACCCCACUUGUCCUUGUGUGCUUUUGCAUCUAUCUCAUCAUUGUUAGAAAGUUUAAAGAACACAGCCCAUUCCUAGAGUUGAGUUAUUCAUCCUGGAUUCUUGGGAAAAAAAUACACCAGAGGAAAAAAAGGAAGAAUUUGCUGAGAGGGUUAUCCUCCCAGAAGAGCUGGAAAAACUGACAGAAACUUUCCAGAGAGUCUGGGAGUGUAGAUCCUCACCUACCUGGGUCACUGGCCCCCCUGAUAAAGUCCUCAUGACAAUGUUCCCACAGUAUUAGGAUAAAUCACAUCUGGUUUGUACCUAGAUGUCCUCUCACCACUUUAGUGUCAACCACACAGGAUGAAAUCUGCUGUACAGACAACACACCAGCCGAGCUACCACUGGUUGGUGAUGUAGAAAAGUCCUGUGAAGAUGUGGUCCCUUGGACAUCUGGCUCACACACACAAGCUAAAGAGAAUGUCAUACAAAUUAGGCCAGGUGAGAACCCCAGGCCUGAUAGCAAGAGCAUUGAUUCCUGUCCAGGAGUAUGAUCCCAACUCCAUGAAGAAAUCUUCAUCCACUGGGUUUCUGACCUUAGGCUGAAUCCAUGUAUGCAAAUGUGACUCUCUGAGGGCUCGUCUGUCCUUCUCAUCACUUAAGAAAACCUAAGUCUUGUGUCUCUGGACAGAGUAGAGCUCAUCCGUAUUAUGAAACCACAAGUCUCGUGUCUCUGGACAGAGUAGAGGUCAUCCGUAUUAUGCCGCUCCUCUUGCAUGUGGUGCUCAGCACAUCUGAUGGCUAGUGGUCCACUCCUGGGUCAUGAACAUUUCCCAGGGCUUUUACAUUUUCCUCAAUGUUAUCAUUGGCUGGUCACCCAAUCUCUGAAAGAUAGAUAGAUAGAUACAUAGAUAAAUAAAUCUGUGCCAGCAACUUUCAAGUAUACAAUACAGCGUUUUGUGCUACACACCCACCAUUUUACAUUAACCUUCUUUUGAACUUACAAAGAACUUAGCAGUCUCCUCACACACUGGAGUUAACCUCCAUUUAUUCACAGUGCUGGUAAAGAACUUACUGUGAAGAGUAAUCCUUCCCAAUUACAAGAAUAUUCUUGUAUUUGGUUACAAAUAGCUCUGCACUGGGAGAGGAGUCCAGGACAGCUGUUGAGAGCGCUUUAGCCCUGGAUUCCUUGCCAGACAAGGCAUGAUUGGUUGGACUCACUGAGAAUUCUGACUUGUUCCCCUCUCAGAACCAUCCAACCCAGACAGCCUUUUUUGUCUAGCAUAGAUCUACACAUGUAAGUACACAUGUACCACACAUACUAACAUGCUUCCAGAGUCCGUAAUGGUUGUGUGCUCCACUAAGCACAGUGAGUACACGGGUUACUCUGGGUAUUUCAGGGAGGAAAGGGUCUCUACGAGAUCUUAAAAAAAAAUAAACAUCACAUAAAGUAUAGCAUUAUAUGGCUGCUCUAAAGGGCUCCCUUUAAGCUCUAUGUUCUGAUGAACCCAACUUACCCUUUAAAAAGAUACAUUUGUGGCAACAUUGCUUUGCUAAAAAAAAAAAAAAAAAAAAAAAAAAAAAAAAAACUCAAGAAAUCUGAACUAUAUGAAGUGAUGGGAACCCCAAGGGCCUGAAAUGAAGACUUCCCCACAUCAGACACCUUCUCAGAAAGGGACUUCUCUUUCCUUCCUGUACCUGCUCUAAAGGCAACCCGACCUCUGCUCGGACUAUCAGGUACUGUUAUCACACAAGCCUUUGUGGACCCCAUUUGCAACAUUUUUUUCUUCUUCCCUGCCUGCUAAGGAUAUUCUCACUUGAUGAAACUAUUUGCUUUGGUUAUUUUCUUUCUUUCUGUUCAUUUCUGUUGAGUUACUUUAGGUUUUUUUUUCAUUUUGUUUUAAACUUUCAGCUCAAAGAAUUCCUGUUUCGUUCCUAUUAAUAGUUGCUAGAUAAAUCAUCCUUUAACUAUGAUUCACUCACCAGAGAACUGUAAGCCAGUAUCCUGCUGUGGGGGGUUAGUGUAAAGGGGGUGAAGAAGAGAGGGGGGAGAGGGGAAGAGAGAAGUGGGGGCACCAGAAGAAGGGGAGACAAAAGGAGGGUUUCUUUGCUCAAUUGUAAACAGAAGUGAAGAAAUGGGAUGAUCAAAAAUCAAAAUAUUUGGAAAUGGCAGCAAAUGAAUAAAGCAGUUCAGAUGGUA